CACGAGUUUGAUCCUGGCUCAGGAUGAACGCUAGCGGCAGGCCUAACACAUGCAAGUCGAGGGGUAGAGUUCUUCGGGACUUGAGACCGGCGCACGGGUGCGUAACGCGUAUGCAAUCUACCUUAUACAGGGGAAUAGCCCAGAGAAAUUUGGAUUAAUGCCCCAUAGUGUUAUCGAAUCGCAUGGUUUGAUAACUAAAGUUCCAACGGUAUAAGAUGAGCAUGCGUCCCAUUAGUUAGUUGGUAAGGUAACGGCUUACCAAGGCAACGAUGGGUAGGGGGUCCUGAGAGGGAGAUCCCCCACACUGGUACUGAGACACGGACCAGACUCCUACGGGAGGCAGCAGUGAGGAAUAUUGGACAAUGGGCGCAAGCCUGAUCCAGCCAUGCCGCGUGCAGGAUGACGGUCCUAUGGAUUGUAAACUGCUUUUAUACAGGAAGAAACCCUCCCACGUGUGGGAGCUUGACGGUACUGUAGGAAUAAGGAUCGGCUAACUACGUG
rnacentral:rRNA from 1 species